rnacentral:tRNA from 1 species
GGCGCUGUGGCACAGCCGGUUAAUGCCCUGGCCUGAAGCGCCAGCAUCCCAUAUGGGUGCUGGUUCGAGACCUGGCUGCUCCA